AUGGGUUACCAGGUGCUCUGUAUUCAAAUUUCCAUGAUUAUGUGGGAAAGGAUAAGCUGGAUAAAUGUUAGGAUUCUUGGAAUUUCAGUAAACAUCACCAAAUGCUUUGAAGAAAGUCCGACAAAGAAAAGGCGUAAGCUGUUGAUCAAUAGAAUUGGAAAGGACUUCAUUUUCCUUUGUCUCUUCUGUUUCCCAAGAAUUGAACCAGUAAUUAAAGAAAGAGAUAAAAGAUGGAGAUCAAGGAAGAGGAAAAACAAAGAUCAAGUUUGUUUGAUUUCCAUUGACCUGUCUUCAAGUUCACCAAUUCUUUGCUCAACUGUGUCAGAUCAAUGACUGAGUGACCCACUGGCUUUCAGCAGCAAGAACCAACUCUCCAGAAAUGGAUGAGGUGGUAGCUGUGAGAGACUGGCCAUAAGGAAGAACUUUCUGUGAUGGAGGCUAUGAAGUGCUGGAAGAGAAGAUUGGGGGAACCUGACCUCCAAACACAGCUCAUGUGGAGUCCUGUGGUGAGAGAGGCUAGGCUCCAGGUGGCUUAAGUCUUUUCUAGCCCAAACAUUUCACCUACUGUGGUUUAGAAGUGAAAGGAGAAGUUUUCCUGCUGUUUUUUCUAAGGUGCCAAAGCAAAUCCCACAUGGAAACUGGGCAAAACCUUGAGCCCAAUAAAAG
rnacentral:lncRNA from 1 species